CAUGAAGUCGGAAUCGCUAGUAAUCGCGGAUCAGCAUGCCGCGGUGAAUACGUUCCCGGGCCUUGUACACACCGCCCGUCACACCAUGAGAGUUUGUAACGCCCAAAGCCGGUGGGGUAACCUUUUGGAGCCAGCCGUCUAAGGUGGGACAGAUGAUUGGGGUGAAGUCGUAACAAGGUAGC
rnacentral:rRNA from 1 species